UGUCAGGACGACAAAAGCUCUGAGUCCUCUCAACACCAGAGUUUUGUUGCCCCGACUCC
rnacentral:pre_miRNA from 1 species